rnacentral:misc_RNA from 1 species
AACGCACAUUGCGCCCCUUGGUAUUCCGAGGGGCAUGCCUGUUCGAGCGUCAUUUCACCAAUCAAGCCCCGCUUGGUAUUGGGCGUAGGCCCGCGCCCCCCCGGGGAGCGGGCCCGCCCCAAAGGCAUCGGCGAGGACGACGACCCCCGGCGUGUUAGAAUCUUUCACGAGAGACGCCAGGAGCACCGUCGGACUCCGCCGCGAGAUGACGGGGGCACUUGUGCCCCCCGACCACACAAGGUUGACCUCGGAUCAGGUAGGAAUACCCGCUGAACUUAA